UCAGUAACUAACUUAAAUACAUUUACUGUUAAUGUAUCACUGAGUAAUAAUGGAGGAACAUUUAAUGAUAUGUCAUCUUUUGGGUUUAGUUUUCUUGGACCAGUUACUAACAUUGACUCUUCAAUUGACAACUGUUCUACUAUUGAUAUAACAUGGACUGCUCCUACAGUUGAUGAUAGAGUAUCUAUACUGUAUUACAUACUAAGAAUAUAUGAUGCUGUUACUGGUAGCCUAGUGGAUA